UCACACUCGUGCACACACAUGAGCAUUAUUGGACUUAGAUCUUAGACCGUUAAUUUACGGAUCAGAACAAUAUACGGUUCAGCUCGAUUUGGUCCUGGUUCGCGCUUCAACGGGGUUGUCGUGCAGGCCUAAUAUUCCCGAAAGUGAAACAGUUGUUGAACUCUGAGAAAUGAAUCGACUUCUGAGCAACCGCCCAAAACAACAGCAUCACUGCAUCAGCAACAAUGAACAUGAUCAACGGGUUCGUCCAAAUGCAUUUCUGAUCUCUGGUCAUGGAAACUUCCGAAGUUCUGUAGUCUCUCUGCUAUUUCCUUUCCCUCCACUCAAAUUUAACUCUCAAUGGUGGAUCUGACUCCAAACAACCGAUAACACCAAGCGAAGGGCUGCGAUAAGUAGGAAUUUAAAAUUUAUGUUAGGUAAUUUGGCAAGGGUAUUUCUUUCUUAUUUGAAGUAAGUAUGAUCUACACCAUCUAUAUCUAUGCAUAUGAAUUUGAUUGUCUGCUUUUUUCAUUUUUUUUUCCCUUCUUAUAGACUUGAUCAUCUUUGAUAGACUGGAAUCAAACUCUGCGCGUGUAGUUUGGUACUUCAUUUUCUCCUUAUGUUUACGUAUGUGUGUAUGUUGCUGUGUCUACAUAUUUACCUGUGUAUAGAAAAGGAUAAUGCUGGUGUGCAUGAAGUAAAUGGUGAACAUAAUUUACAUUGACCUCAUCUACAAUCUGACAGUUAAUUCCUAAAAUCAUAAACACAAUUUUGAUUGGCGUUCAAACUAAGUGCAUACCAAGUAUGGUAUGCUGCACUCACAUAGCACUAUCCCAAAUGCUAACUUCAAUAUCUAUUUCUGAAAUGUAUGCUACUUUCAGCUAGGCACCAUCUGGAACCUUUUGUUGAGUAGCAGAGAUUACGUAUUUUCUGACGGUGGACUAAAUAGGUUCAUGAGGCACCUGGGCAAGAUAUGAUAAUCUAUGCUACUUGUCAUCCGCUGGACUUGUUCAAGAACUGGAUGGAUGCAGGACCAAAAAUUAUGACGUUUAAACGAAAGCAUGAGGAAGGCCCAUGAAUUUGUUUGCUCGACUAGUGCUGCGUUAGCUCUUGUUGGAUGCUUAAAUGUGGUGUUGAAGCAUGAUUCUAUUUGCACAGGGUACAGAUACGGUCAAUUGGAAGUUCAACUAGCAGUCUAGCAGGAAGAUAGCAGUGGAAACCAAGUCCACCGGGAAUGUCAGGUCUUCAAGCUGAAAGAGUGGAAGAUUCACAGGAAGAUUCACAGGGUUUAUGCUGGCUAGGCAUUAGGAGAUAUAUUGGUUUGGGGCGACACUUUUUUUUUUCUUUUUGUCAGUCAAGCAUUAUUUGUUCGCAAUCAACUAUUUUUUCAGCAUGGUGCGAACGAGUAAAAGAGCACUUAAUUGGUGGCGAGGACCCAUAUUGACUAUCGAUGAUAUUUUUCUUGUUACUGAGGGGUCAUAGAAUUUUUU